CCUACGGGGGGCAGCAGUCGAGAAUCAUUCACAAUGGGGGAAACCCUGAUGGUGCGACGCCGCGUGGGGGAAUGAAGGUCUUCGGAUUGUAAACCCCUGUCAUGUGGGAGCAAAUUAAAAAGAUAGUACCACAAGAGGAAGAGACGGCUAACUCGGUGCCAGCAGCCGCGGUAAUACAGAGGUCUCAAGCGUUGUUCGGAAUCACUGGGCGUAAAGCGUGCGUAGGCUGUUUCGUAAGUCGUGUGUGAAAGGUGCGGGCUCAACCCGCGGACGGCACAUGAUACUGCGAGACUAGAGUAAUGGAGGGGGAACCGGAAUUCACGGUGUAGCAGUGAAAUGCGUAGAUAUCGAGAGGAACACUCGUGGCGAAGGCGGGUUCCUGGACAUUAACUGACGCUGAGGCACGAAGGCCAGGGGAGCGAACGGGAUUAGAUACCCGAGUAGUC
rnacentral:rRNA from 1 species